UACGUAGGGUGCAAGCGUUAAUCGGAAUUACUGGGCGUAAAGCGUGCGCAGGCGGCUUUAUAAGUCAGAUGUGAAAUCCCCGGGCUCAACCUGGGAACUGCAUUUGUGACUGUAUAGCUAGAGUACGGUAGAGGGGGAUGGAAUUCCGCGUGUAGCAGUGAAAUGCGUAGAUAUGCGGAGGAACACCGAUGGCGAAGGCAAUCCCCUGGACCUGUACUGACGCUCAUGCACGAAAGCGUGGGGAGCAAACAGG
rnacentral:rRNA from 1 species